GUGUGAUCCCUUCCGACGAACGAGAGUUGUGGUUUCGUCAGUUUGCGCAAGAGUUCAACUGGCACUCCGAUCUCACGGAAACAGUCCGUAAGAAAUUCAACGAAAAGGCCAUGGACUCUUAUACGAAGCAGAUAAACGCGUGGAAGACAGUUUGGCAGAAGAACAAGAGGCCACGGUUCAUCAACGGGACGGUAUGGGAGUAGUUGAUAGCUCAUUGGGAGAAAGAAGAAACUACAGAGACGUCUUCUAGGAACUCCAAGAACCGGAAGAGCGAUCAUGGCGGGAAAGGUAUGUAUGUGCACAACCUCGGCGCUUGCUCUAUGUCUACUAAGGAGGAUGAACUUAUCGAAGCAAAUGACGGUAAUCCCGUUGAUCGUCUCCAACUCAUUAAGGUGGCUCACACUAACAAGACGACGGGUCAAAUUCAGGACCCCGUGAUCAAAGGUGUCGUUGAUUUGGUGGAAGCUGAAAUAGUAUCUCAAUCUCAGCCUCUCUCUGAUGA